rnacentral:rRNA from 1 species
CAUGGCUCAGAUUGAACGCUGGCGGCAUGCCUUACACAUGCAAGUCGAACGGCAGCACGGGAGCUUGCUCCUGGUGGCGAGUGGCGAACGGGUGAGUAAUACAUCGGAACGUACCCUGAAGUGGGGGAUAACGUAGCGAAAGUUACGCUAAUACCGCAUAUUCUGUGAGCAGGAAAGAGGGGGAUCGCAAGACCUCUUGCUUUAGGAGCGGCCGAUGUCGGAUUAGCUAGUUGGUGAGGUAAAGGCUCACCAAGGCGACGAUCCGUAGCGGGUCUGAGAGGAUGAUCCGCCACACUGGGACUGAGACACGGCCCAGACUCCUACGGGAGGCAGCAGUGGGGAAUUUUGGACAAUGGGCGCAAGCCUGAUCCAGCCAUGCCGCGUGAGUGAAGAAGGCCUUCGGGUUGUAAAGCUCUUUCGGUGGGGAAGAAAUUGCUUCGGUUAAUACCUGGAGUAGAUGACGGUACCCGCAUAAGAAGCACCGGCUAACUACGUG